rnacentral:rRNA from 1 species
AGAGUUUGAUCCUGGCUCAGGAUGAACGCUGGCGGCGCGCCUAACACAUGCAAGUCGAACGGACGAUGCCCCUUCGGGGACAAAGUCAGUGGCGGACGGGUGAGUAACGCGUGAGUAACCUGCCCUUAUGAGUGGAAUAACGUCUGGAAACGGACGCUAAUACCGCAUAACGCAGCGAUACGGCAUCGUAUUGCUGCCAAAGAUUUAUCGCAUAAGGAUGGACUCGCGUCCCAUUAGAUAGUUGGCGGGGUAACGGCCCACCAAGUCAGCGAUGGGUAGCCGGACUGAGAGGUUGAACGGUCACAUUGGAACUGAGAGACGGUCCAGACUCCUACGGGAGGCAGCAGUGGGGAAUAUUGGGCAAUGGGCGAAAGCCUGACCCAGCGACGCCGCGUGAGCGAAGAAGGUCUUCGGAUUGUAAAGCUCUGUUGAUAGGGACGAUAAUGACGGUACCUAUCGAGGAAGCCACGGCUAACUACGUGCCAGCAGCCGCGGUAAUACGUAGGUGGCAAGCGUUAUCCGGAUUUACUGGGUGUAAAGGGUGUGUAGGCGGGAUUGCAAGUCAGAUGUGAAAAUCAUGGGCUCAACUCAUGACCUGCAUUUGAAACUGUGGUUCUUGAGAGUCGGAGGGGUAAUCGGAAUUCCCGGUGUAGCGGUGAAAUGCGUAGAUAUUAGGAGGAACACCAGUGGCGAAGGCGGCUUGCUGGACGACAACUGACGCUGAGGCGCGAAAGCGUGGGGAGCAAACAGGAUUAGAUACCCUGGUAGUCCACGCUGUAAACGAUGAAUACUAGGUGUGGGAGGACUGACCCCUUCCGUGCCGCAGUUAACACAAUAAGUAUUCCACCUGGGGAGUACGACCGCAAGGUUGAAACUCAAAGGAAUUGACGGGGGCCCGCACAAGCAGUGGAUUAUGUGGUUUAAUUCGACGCAACGCGAAGAACCUUACCAGGAUUUGACAUCCAACUAACGAAGUAGAGAUACAUUAGGUGCCCUUCGGGGAAAGUUGAGACAGGUGGUGCAUGGUUGUCGUCAGCUCGUGUCGUGAGAUGUUGGGUUAAGUCCCGCAACGAGCGCAACCCCUAUUGUUAGUUGCUACGCAAGAGCACUCUAGCGAGACUGCCGUUGACAAAACGGAGGAAGGCGGGGACGACGUCAAAUCAUCAUGCCCCUUAUGUCCUGGGCUACACACGUAAUACAAUGGUGGUUAACAGAGGGAAGCAAGACAGUGAUGUGGAGCAAAUCCCUAAAAGCCAUCUCAGUUCGGAUUGCAGGCUGCAACUCGCCUGCAUGAAGCUGGAAUUGCUAGUAAUCGCGGAUCAGCAUGCCGCGGUGAAUACGUUCCCGGGCCUUGCACACACCGCCCGUCAAG